rnacentral:misc_RNA from 1 species
GAGUCGUAACAAGGUCUCCGUUGGUGAGCCAGCGGAGGGAUCAUUAGCGAGUUGUUAAAAAAGCUCCGAAACCCAUGUGAACAUACCGUCUGUUGCCUCGGCAGGUCGUGCCGCCGGGUGGUUUGCCUACCCUGGAGUAGCUACCCUUAGAGGUGCUACCCUGCAGCACGCAACCCGGCCUGUCGAAGGUCCCCUCAACUCUGUUUAUAUCUGUAUCUCUGAGUUUUAUGUGGAAACUAAGUUAAAAU